AUUGAACGCUGGCGGCAGGCCUAACACAUGCAAGUCGAACGGAGUGGCGGACGGGUGAGUAAUGUAUGGGAAACUGCCUGGUGGUGGGGGAUAACUUCCGGAAACGGUCGCUAAUACCGAAUACUAUCAGAUGAGCCAUGGUGGGAUUGGCUAGUGGGUGGGGUAAAGGCCUACCAAGGCGACGAUGCGUAGCUGGUCUGAGAGGAUGAUCAGUCACACUGGAACUGAGAAACGGGCCGGACUCCUACGGGAGGCAGCAGUGGGGAAUAUUGGACAAUGGGCGAAAGCCUGAUGCAGCCAUGACGCGUGUGUGAAGAAGGUCUUCGGAUUGUAAAGUACGUUAAGUUGGGAGGCGUUACCAACAGAAUAAGCACCGGCUAACUCCGUGCCAGCAGCCGCGGUAAUUC
rnacentral:rRNA from 1 species